rnacentral:lncRNA from 10 species
CUGGAAUGCCUGUGGUUUCUCCAGCACCUGGGUCCUGCUGGCAACCAGCAGCACCCAGUGGCCAGCAGCGUACUCUUUCACCUCUUCUUGGGUGACUUUGUGGAAUGCUCCAAUGUGACAUCUCCCUGUGAACGCCUUUCCUGACACCCUAAAAAGUGUCAGGAAUUUCCAGCAAGUUCCAGAGAGCAGGUUUCCAGCAAGUUUGGUCAGUAUGACACCACAGCGAUAUCUCUGCCAUUCACUGAACUUGGAUUCUUCCUUCUUCAGUGAGAGAUGUUCAAGAAAAAGAACAACUUCAGUGGAAGAAGAAGAAGAUAGGAGCCCAGGUCCUGUGUUUCACCAAGACAGCCGUGCAAAGCAGAUGCUGCCAAAAAGGUGCAAAGUGGUUUGUCAGCUCUUCUGCAUGUUCUAACAAAUUAGACAUGCAUCCCAAAAGGUUUCCUAGACUUUCCAUCACCACCAGUGAAUUCUGAGUGACAAUAGUGUGGAAUUUGGAAGAAUGGAAGAGAAACUGAAGUGGAGAGAUGGUGAAAGAGAAGAAAAAAUGAAGAAAGAUGCUUGCAAAAAUACUGCUGUGGGUCCUGAGAUGAGGAUUCUGGGAGGGUGCUGAAAUGGAUGCCCCUGACAGCUCCCUUUGAGUUCCUGUUCAUCUGAAGUACACCAGCUUUCUAGAUAUGCUGUCACUUUCCUUCUGCAGAGCCACAGUGGUGUCCUGUCUUCUCAGACCUCUUCUCACCUCAAAUCACUUAGGACUCGGCCACCAGACAGAUUUGGGAUUUCAGAACUUUUCAGAUGUUAGAAAGGUAAAUGGUAUAUAUUGCAUAUGUAGUAUUUCCAGUAGAGUCUGGGUCAGCACCUCAUAAGCAAAUGUAUUAAUAUUUUGACCACAACAUAUAUGCAUCGUUCUUUUCUAAAUGUGAUGAGGAAUUACGGAAUCAUAAAAUGGAAGCAGAGUUAAACUCAGACAUGUGGGCACUCAAGGUAGGUAAAUAUUCUGGUAUUCAUGACAGGUUAGUCAUUUGAGCUGACCUGUGACUGCUUCGGCCAACUGAAUAGGGAAGAGUGAUGCUGUGCUGUUUCCAGGCCUGUUCUUUAAAAGUACUUGGAAGCUUCUGCCUUGGCCUCUUUGUGCCUGAGUUGCUGUAUAAGAAUCUGACUACCUUGCUGGAGAGACCUUGUGGAGAAGACUUGACCUUAUAUGCAGAGGUAGAGGGGCCCUGGUUAGUCCAGCCAUCUAGCCAUCCUGUCAAAAUAGCAGUCUUACUAAUUUUUUAUUUGCUAGAUCACCCCCUUUCUAUCUUGUCCUUUAUUAUCCAUUUAAUCCUAUCCUUUUUUUGAAACCCUAACAGUCAUUAUUGUUGUGCUAAUCAGCUGCCUUUGCUUUCAGAUCCAUUUCCUGCCCUUCUUUUAUUCUACUCUGUAUUACAGCCAACCACAUUUCCAGGCUCCCUUGUCCUCUGCUAUCUAGAUCUGUAUGCAAGAAGAAAUGAAAAAGAUGAACAGGUAGAGUCCAGGGCCAAUGGAUCCAAAACCUAUCCUAUAUCUACAUGUUGGUGGCCACAUUAAUCUGACAUCUGACAGCAAGAGCGAUGAUUGGGUUCACUGGAAAUCUUUGUGAAGUACGAGUGAAGUCCUUGUGAAGUCAGAGUGUUUCCUCUUCAUGCCUCUACUCCUAUGCAGUUUGACCUCUCAGUGUGCAGCUGGUGAUAGAUGGAAACCCUUGUUCAUAAGCUUUGUGGCACUGUCGGCAGGAUGAGGGGACUUCUGGAUCCUCACUGGUCACUGUGGCAGAGUGGUUGGUGUUGUCUGCUCCCUAGACAGGAACCCACUGAAGAAUCUGACAUUUUUUGAUAUGCUGGCAUUCAUUGUUACAGCCCAUCAUCCCAGCCAUCAAUCCAGGACAUGGGGUCUGUGCCCACGGUGGGAAGGAGGAGGGGGAAGCUGGCUUUGUUCUGACGUUGGGCUUCUUCUGCUCCACCAGUACUUUCUGUGGGGGAAAUAGGUAAAGAAAUGGCUGUUCAGAUGAGAAGAUGUGUCAGUAAACUUUUGCUACAGUGAUGCUGCAAAACAAAUCACUGGUGACUUUCAGUGGCACACAGCAAUAAACAUUUAUUUAGCUCAGGGAUUGACAAUCUUUUUUUUUUUUUAAAGGGCCAAAUAGUAAAUAUUUUAGGUGUUUCAGGCCAUACAGUCUCUGAACUCUGAACUUGUAGCACAACAGUAGCCUUAGAUGCUAUGCAAAUGGAGGAGCAUGACUGUGUUCCAAUAAAACUUUAUUUAUGGACACUAAAAU